AUUGAACGCUGGCGGCAUGCCUUACACAUGCAAGUCGAACGGUAACAGGUCUUCGGAUGCUGACGAGUGGCGAACGGGUGAGUAAUACAUCGGAACGUGCCUAGUAGUGGGGGAUAACUACUCGAAAGAGUGGCUAAUACCGCAUGAGAUCUACGGAUGAAAGCAGGGGAUCGCAAGACCUUGUGCUACUAGAGCGGCCGAUGGCAGAUUAGGUAGUUGGUGGGAUAAAAGCUUACCAAGCCGACGAUCUGUAGCUGGUCGGAGAGGACGAUCGGCCACACUGGGACUGAGACACGGCCCAGACUCCUACGGGGGGCAGCAGUGGGGAAUGUUGGACAAUGGGCGCAAGCCUGAUCCAGCAAUGCCGCGUGCAGGAUGAAGGCCUUCGGGUUGUAAACUGCUUCUGUACGGAACGAAAAGCCCUGGGUUAAUACCCUGGGGUCAUGACGGUACCGUAAGAAUAAGCACCGGCUAACUACGUGCCAGCCGCCGCGGUAA
rnacentral:rRNA from 1 species